rnacentral:rRNA from 1 species
CCCUUAGAUGUUCUGGGCCGCACGCGCGCUACACUGACGGAGGCAGCGAGCAUGUCCUUCGCCGAGAGGUGUGGGGAAUCUUGUGAGUCUCCGUCGUGCUGGGGAUAGAUGGUUGCAAUUGUCGAUCUUGAACGAGGAAUUCCUAGUAAGCGCGAGUCAUCAGCUCGCGCUGAUUACGUCCCUGCCCUUUGUACACACCGCCCGUCGCUCCUACCGAUUGAAUGAUCCGAUGAAUAUCAUGGAUUGAGGAUGCAAGUAGGUUCGCCUAUCUUCAUCUUCGAGAAGUGAAGUAAAUCUUAUCAUUUAGAGGAAGGAGAAGUCGUAACA